AAGAGGUAAAUGAUAAAGAAGAAGCUGCUAACUAUCUUCUCAGGCGGUUAAAUUCCGUCUACCUCUUA
rnacentral:tRNA from 1 species